UACGGAGGAUGCAAGCGUUAUCCGGAAUUAUUGGGCGUAAAGCGUCCGUAGGUGGCUUUACAAGUCAGCUGUUAAAGCGUGGAGCUUAACUCCAUAAAGGCAGUUGAAACUGUGAGGCUAGAGUGCGGUAGGGGUAAGGGGAAUUCCCAGUGUAGCGGUGAAAUGCGUAGAUAUUGGGAAGAACACCGGUGGCGAAAGCGCCUGCUGGACCUGCACUGACACUGAGGGACGAA
rnacentral:rRNA from 1 species